CCUACGGGAGGCAGCAGUGAGGAAUAUUGGUCAAUGGACGCAAGUCUGAACCAGCCAUGCCGCGUGCAGGAAGACGGCUCUAUGAGUUGUAACCUGCUUUUGUACGAGGGUAAACGCAGAUACGCGUAUCUGUCUGAAAGUAUCGUACGAAUAAGGAUCGGCUAACUCCGUGCCAGCAGCCGCGGUAAUACGGAGGAUUCAAGCGUUAUCCGGAUUUAUUGGGUUUAAAGGGUGCGUAGGCGGUCGGAUAAGUUAGAGGUGAAAUCCCGAGGCUCAACUUCGGAAUUGCCUCUGAUACUGGUCGGCUAGAGAGUAGUUGCGGUAGGCGGAAUGUAUGGUGUAGCGGUGAAAUGCUUAGAGAUCAGACAGAACACCGGUUGCGAAGGCAGCUUACCAAGCUACUUCUGACGUUGAGGCACGAAAGCGUGGGGAGCAAACAGGAUUAGAUACCCCUGUAGUC
rnacentral:rRNA from 1 species